rnacentral:rRNA from 1 species
CCUACGGGGGGCAGCAGUGAGGAAUAUUGGUCAAUGGACGAGAGUCUGAACCAGCCAAGUAGCGUGAAGGAUGACUGCCCUAUGGGUUGUAAACUUCUUUUAUAUGGGAAUAAAAUGUUCCACGUGUGGGAUUUUGUAUGUACCAUAUGAAUAAGGAUCGGCUAACUACGUGCCAGCAGCCGCGGUAAUACGGAGGAUCCGAGCGUUAUCCGGAUUUAUUGGGUUUAAAGGGAGCGUAGGUGGAUUGUUAAGUCAGUUGUGAAAGUUUGCGGCUCAACCGUAAAAUUGCAGUUGAAACUGGCAGUCUUGAGUACAGUAGAGGUGGGCGGAAUUCGUGGUGUAGCGGUGAAAUGCUUAGAUAUCACGAAGAACUCCGAUUGCGAAGGCAGUUCACUGGACUGCAACUGACACUGAGGCUCGAAAGUGUGGGUAUCAAACAGGAUUAGAUACCCUUGUAGUC